UACCAGCACCCCGAGUGGUCUGCGCGUUUAUUGGGCCUAAAGCAUCCGUAGCCGGUUCUACAAGUCUUCCGUUAAAUCCACCUGCUCAACAGAUGGGCUGCGGAAGAUACUAUGGAGCUAGGAGGCGGGAGAGGCAAGCGGUACUCGAUGGGUAGGGGUAAAAUCCGUUGAUCCAUUGAAGAACACCAGUGGCGAAGGCGGCUUGCCAGAACGCGCUCGACGGUGAGGGAUGAAAGCUGGGGGAGCAAACGGG
rnacentral:rRNA from 1 species